ACGGUUGUGGGUAACAUAGUAUGGUCUGCGCAGUAUCAGAUUAUAGGGGUUGUAUGAUCCUCCUAGCCAUCGACGCGUACGGUGUUUGGAGACAUAGCCCGGAGAUGGGUUCUGAGACACGAAUCCAGACCCUACUGGGUUGCAGCAUGCGCGAAAAUUUCACACUGCAGGAAACUGUGAUGAGUGAACUCCAAGUUCUAUCACUAUGUGGUAGCUUUUUCUUUGACUAAUUAAUCGGUCAUGGAAUAAGGUCUGGGAAAGACCGUUGCCAGCCGCCUCGGUAAUACCGGCAGCUCAAGUGGUCGUCGCUUUAUUGGGCUUUAAACGUCCGUAGCCUGUUUUUGGUAAAUCUGUGGGUAAAUCAACCAGCUUAACUGGUUGAAUUCUGCAGAGACUUCCAGACUAGGGACCGGAAGAGUUGUGGGGUACUAUAGGGGUAGGGGUAAAAUCCUGUCAUCCUUAGAGGACCACCAGUUGCGAAGGCGCCACACUGGAACGGAUCCGACGGUCAGGGACGAAGCCUAGGGGCACGAACCGGAUUAGAUACCCGGGUAGUCCUAGGUGUAAACGCUGUGAACUGGUUGUCGGGGAUCCGUAAUGGGUCCUCGGUGCCGGAGUGAAGAUGUUAAGUUCACUGCCUGGGGAGUACGGUCGCAAAGCUGAAACUCAAAUGAAUGACGGG
rnacentral:rRNA from 1 species